rnacentral:lncRNA from 1 species
UUCCUUGAGACGGAGUCCCGCUCUGUCACCAAGGCGGUAGUGCAGUGGCGUGAUCUCGGCUCACUGCUGAUACGGCUCCCAUGAGUGGAGGGACACCAGGGCUCUUGUCUUACCUUGAAUUAGGUAAAACAACACUGACACACGUGGAGUGGUUUUAAAGAGCGGAGAGUUUAAUAGGCAAGAAAGAAGGCAGAACUUAGAGGCUUCCCCUUACAGAGACAGAGGGAGGGGGGCUCCAAAGCCGAAAGAGGAGGGCCCCAAGUGUGGUGGACGCCAGCCAGGUAUACAUGCAGAGGCCGGAGGAGGCGAUCUGAUUUGCACAGGGCUUAGCGGAUUGGUUUGACCAGGCAUGUUUUAUUCACGUAGCAGGGAAAAAGCUGGCCCUCCCUUCCUAGCCUUUUAAUAUGCAAAUGCAGGGCGCUGUGACGUUCUACGCAUGUGGGGAUAUGUGGCGGACGUUGCCAGGAACAUGUGGGGCAAGGGCAAGAAGGCAGCAGUAACCGCCAUGUUUGGGAAAAGCUCCAGAAACUCCCCUAGCAAGGCUGGAUCUCUCCAAGCUUCAGAAAGAGGAAGACAACUGAACAGGCAGGGCUCGCAUCUUCUUUAGAGGCGGUGGAGUUGGGGGACAGCUGGUAACAGGAUAGAUAGCAACAACCACCUUGAAGAUAAUGCACGAAGUGUCGGCACUGCACAGUACAUGAAUGAUCUCACUUAACUCCCGUGCAAACCCUAUGCCAUGGCUGCUAUUAUCAUUCACGUUUACAGGAUGAGGAAACUAAUGCUCAUGCAGGGAGCCUGGCCCUUGGACAGCCACCAUACUCUGCAGAAGCCCAGGCUGCGUGGAGAGGCUGACGCUGGUGUCUGGCCAACUGUCCCUGCUGGGCCUUCAGCCUGUAGUCAGCAUCAACAGUCAGGCGUGUGAGUGAAUGAGUCUUCAGAUAAUGCCAGCCCCAGCCUUUGCUUCUUCCAGCCAUGACCCCAGACAUAGUGGAGCAAGGACAAGCCAUCCUCACUGUGAUGUGCCCUGUCUGAAUUUAUGAGCCAUGGAAACUGUGAGAGCACAGGACUCGCUGCUAGUCCUUCUAAUUUCCAGCGGAAAGCAGUCUGUUUUGACGCUUCCCAGGUGUUCAGUCCCAUAGGAGCAGCUGAGUCCUCAAGGCAGCAGCCGGUAGGCAGGCAGUUUGCCGUCCUUGAACCAGCCUGACCAUCUGACUGUGCUACUGCAAGGGAGUGUUAGAGACUUUCUCAAUUUGGUGACUCAUACUCAUCCUCCACUUGGAACAUCCAGUUCUGAACCUUGCCGUCUCCCAGAAAUUGUCAUUCUAGCCUCAGCCUCAUCUCUACAAUGUCCUUUUGGCUUCCCAGUGAUGUUCCAGGAAACUUGUUCAUGCCGGGUCAUCUGUCUCCCGUUUCAGGCAGCCAGCAUGGAAAUGGAAUUUUGGCUCCCAUCCAGGGGGAUGAUUUUAAUUCAGGAUGCAACUGGGCGCUGCCCUUUGACUUCAAAGCCACCCACGUGGUACAGAUAUAGAGUGGUAUAAGGAUUAAUGAAAUACGGUGUAUCGUUCUACUUCAUUUAAUGGCUGCAUCAUGUACCAUGUAUGUACCAUAAUUUGUUUAACUAAUCCCCUAUUGAAGAACAUUAAGGUAAUUAUUAUUGUUAUUAGAUGAGCAGCUGAACCUUGGAAACACACUCUUAAAUGCUUUCCUUCUGAGGAAAAUGAAGGAGCUGGCUGUUUCUUAUCAAGAGGAUCAUGCCCCUUGGAGAUGAUUAUGCCCCAGCCUGAGACACGCUGAUAUCCUCACAGGCUGUUCCCAAUGGGAGGGGGCCACUCAGGGGCACUGGGGUGGGAAAAGAUUGGCUGUCGCCACACCCUUUAAGGAAUGGAUUUUCCAACCAAGGACAGUGAAGGGCAAGCCUCUAAAAUGUCCACUAAUGAAAGAGUAACUACAAUGUUCUUGUAUGCUGCUCUGAUUAUCAUCAUCCCCAGAGCCUUCCUGUACCCUGCCAUGGACUGUGUCUUCCUGGAAGUGCUUGUGGUUUGAUGUUGCCUCCUUGCAGAUGUUCAGAAAGGACUGCUUGCUGGAAAGGAGAGAAGCUGAGAGAUGACCACAUUCCUCCUGGAUUAAUAUGGGCUCCGGUGGCUCCUCCCUGUGAUGUGCCGUGCUCCGUGCCUUGGGACCUUACUAUGUCAUCAAAGGCAGCCACAUUUAUGCAGACAUAAGGGAAGCCAGAAUCUACAAGAACCGUCCCUCCAGGAGGGAAACACUCCACUGAACAGUGUCAAAUGGACCUCUUCAGAACCUGGACUCGAUGGGGGACCACAGAGAGACAGCCAUGGAAGCAGAGGGCAGCUGCCAGCAACUAUUGCUGCCAUGUGCCAAACACGGUUCUUAACAUCUCACGCCUCAACUCUCUUUAAUCUCAUAACAACCCUAUGAGGUAGGUGCUGUUGUCCCCAUUUUGCAGAUGAAGAGGCUGAGGCACAGGAAGAUUAGACACCCAUCCCAAAGCAAGAACCCGAUGGUGCUGGAUGUGAACCCAGGCACUGUGACUCAGGCUCCUACCACUGCACUGAGUGUCUUUCAAUGUAGUUGAAGUAGAGGUGGUCACAGCAGAGAGCAGUCAAGAGGAGACAGAAACUGAGAGAUGGAUACAGAGCUUUGUGAUCAGCAGGGGACUAAGGACAUCCAUUUCUGAGGGGACAACAAAGUGACCAGGCCACCAUAAUAACCCUGAAGGACAAGAAUUUUGUUCCUGUGCACCGGUGGGUAGUGGGACAUCUGAAUGGAUGGCUUCCCAAGCUCUGCAGCCUCAGGUAACAGGAGCCAGUCUUUGUUUCCUGUGGCUUGGAAGAGCCUAACUUGUUUUAUUGUUAAUUGUGCAGAUAAUCAUUGAGUUAAAUGGUCACAGAGAAAGAAAAAAAAAGGGAUGCCCAGGCGUGGUGGCUCACGCCUAUAAUCCCAGCACUUUG